UCUCUCUCUCUCUCUCUGUCUCUCUCUCUGUCUCUCUCUCUAACACACUUUGGAAGGUAUUUAGUUGACAGUGUCUUUUUCUCUACUCUGGGGAUAGUUUAGGAUGAAUCUAUAUUAGAGAUACUAUAGACCAGGGCUGGAGGAGAAGAGACAGAAUAGUUUAGGAUGAAUUUUUAUUAGAGAUACUAUAGACCAGGGCUGGAGGAGAAGAGACAGAAUAGUUUAGGAUGAAUCUAUAUUAGAGAUACUAUAGACCAGGGCUGGAGGAGAAGAGACAGAAUAGUUUAGGAUGAAUUUUUAUUAGAGAUACUAUAGACCAGGGCUGGAGGAGAAGAGGGUCUUUGGGGGGGAAGAGAAGAAAAUAGACAGGAAGAGGAAGGGAAGAGAGAAGGUUUAAAGACAGGGAGAGGAAGGGAAGACAGAAGGUUUAAAGACAGGGAGAGGAAGGGAAGAGAGAAGGUUUAAAGACAGGGAGAGGAAGGGAAGACAGAAGGUUUAAAGACAGGGAGAGGAAGGGAAGAGAGAAGGUUUAAAGACAGGGAGAGGAAGGGAAGACAGAAGGUUUAAAGACAGGGAGAGGAAGGGAAGACAGAAGGUUUAAAGACAGGGAGAGGAAGGGAAGAGAGAAGGUUUAAAGACAGGGAGAGGAAGGGAAGAGAGAAGGUUUAAAGACAGGGAGAGGAAGGGAAGAGAGAAGGCUUAAAGACAGGGAGAGGAAGGGAAGACAGAAGGCUUAAAGACAGGGAGAGGAAGGGAAGACAGAAGGUUUAAAGACAGGGAGAGGAAGGGAAGACAGAAGGUUUAAAGACAGGGAGAGGAAGGGAAGAGAGAAGGUUUAAAGACAGGGAGAGGAAGGGAAGACAGAAGGUUUAAAGACAGGGAGAGGAAGGGAAGAGAGAAGGUUUAAAGACAGGAAGAGGAAGGGAAGACAGAAGGUUUAAAGACAGGGAGAGGAAGGGAAGACAGAAGGUUUAAAGACAGGGAGAGGAAGGGAAGACAGAAGGUUUAAAGACAGGGAGAGGAAGGGAAGAGAGAAG
rnacentral:lncRNA from 1 species